rnacentral:rRNA from 1 species
CCUACGGGAGGCAGCAGUGAGGAAUAUUGGUCAAUGGACGCAAGUCUGAACCAGCCAUGCCGCGUGCAGGAAGACGGCUCUAUGAGUUGUAAACUGCUUUUGUACGAGGGUAAACGCAGUUACGCGUAUCUUUCUGAAAGUAUCCUACGAAUCAGGAUCGGCUAACUCCGUGCCAGCAGCCGCGGUAAUACGGAGGAUUCAAGGGUUAUCCGGAUUUAUUGGGUUUAAAGGGUGCGUAGGCGGACGCUUAAGUCAGCGGUACAAUUGCGGGGCUCAACCUCGUCGAGCCGUUGAGACUGGGUGGCUUGAGUGGGAGAGAAGUACGCGGAAUGAGAGGUGUAGCGGUGAAAUGCAUAGAUAUCACGCAGAACACCGAUUGCGAAGGCAGCGUACCGGGGCCCAACUGACGCUGAAGCACGAAGGCGUGGGUAUCGAACAGGAUUAGAUACCCUUGUAGUC